rnacentral:rRNA from 1 species
ACCUGACUGCUAUCGGAUUGGUACUAAGCCAUGCGAGUCAUUGUAGCAAUACAAGGCGGACGGCUCAGUAACACGUAGUCAACCUAACUCGUGGACGUGGAUAACCUCGGGAAACUGAGAAUAAACCACGAUAGAUCAUAGUGCCUGGAAUGGCUUAUGGUCCAAACAGUUUACUGCCAUGGGAUGGGACUGCGGCCUAUCAGCUUGUUGGUGAGGUAAUGGCCCACCAAGGCGAUUACAGGUACGGGCUCUGAAAGGAGAAGCCCGGAGAUGGGUACUGAGACACGGACCCAGGCCCUAUGGGGCGCAGCAGGCGAGAAACCUUAGCAAUGUGCGAAAGCACGACUGGGUCAGUCCGAGUGAUUCCUGAUAAAGGAGUCUUUUGCCUGUCCUAAAAGCACAGGUGAAUAAGGGGUGGGCAAGUCUGGUGUCAGCCGCCGCGGUAAUACCAGCACCUCGAGUGGUCAGGACGUUUAUUGGGCCUAAAGCAUCCGUAGCCGGCUCUGCAAGUCUUCGGUUAAAUCCACCUGCUCAACAGAUGGGCCGCUGGAGAUACUACAGAGCUAGGGAGUGGGAGAGGCAGACGGUAUUCAGUGGGUAGGGGUAAAAUCCUCUGAUCCAUUGAGGACCACCAGUGGCGAAGGCGGUCUGCCAGAACACGUUCGACGGUGAGGGAUGAAAGCUGGGGGAGCAAACCGGAUUAGAUACCCGGGUAGUCCCAGCUGUAAACGAUGCAAACUCGGUGAUGCAUUGGCUUAUGGCCAAUGCAGUGCCGCAGGGAAGCCGUUAAGUUUGCCGCCUGGGAAGUACGGACGCAAGUCUGAA